rnacentral:rRNA from 1 species
AAUGGGUCAGCGACUUAUAUUCUGUAGCAAGGUUAACCGAAUAGGGGAGCCGAAGGGAAACCGAGUCUUAACUGGGCGUUAAGUUGCAGGGUAUAGACCCGAAACCCGGUGAUCUAGCCAUGGGCAGGUUGAAGGUUGGGUAACACUAACUGGAGGACCGAACCGACUAAUGUUGAAAAAUUAGCGGAUGACUUGUGGCUGGGGGUGAAAGGCCAAUCAAACCGGGAGAUAGCUGGUUCUCCCCGAAAGCUAUUUAGGUAGCGCCUCGUGAAUUCAUCUCCGGGGGUAGAGCACUGUUUCGGCAAGGGGGUCAUCCCGACUUACCAACCCGAUGCAAACUGCGAAUACCGGAGAAUGUUAUCACGGGAGACACACGGCGGGUGCUAACGUCCGUCGUGAAGAGGGAAACA